rnacentral:lncRNA from 1 species
GCCCCCAUUUGCCGACCAAUCUCCGGAACAGUCUGACUGACACUAGGCUCUGACCCACCAAAUAAAUGGAUAAUCUUGAAGUGACUACCGACUAUAUGUCGGUUAAGUAGACCGACACUACUUUCAAUUGAUCGAUCGAAUCUCCUUUGCCGACCCAGAUCAGUAAGCGAUCGAUGUUCGAAUUCUACAGACAACAGACUACUUCGACCGUCAGUAUUUCAGAGUGACUAACCGACAACCGAACCU